UACGGGGGGAGCAAGCGUUGUUCGGAUUUACUGGGCGUAAAGGGCGCGUAGGCGGUCAGCACAAGUCAGUUGUGAAAUCUCCGGGCUUAACUCGGAAAGGUCAACUGAUACUGUGCGACUAGAGUGCGGAAGGGGCAACUGGAAUUCUCGGUGUAGCGGUGAAAUGCGUAGAUAUCGAGAGGAACACCUGCGGCGAAGGCGGGUUGCUGGGCCGACACGUGACUGAUGCGCGAAAGCCAGGGGAGCGAACGGG
rnacentral:rRNA from 1 species